AAACUUAUUAUGUGCCAAGCACUGUGCUUAGUGCCUUGCAUGGAAUAUUUCAUUUAAUUCUAAUAACUUUCUGCGGUAAAUGGCAUUAUUAUCAUUAUUAGUAUUUUCAUUAUUUUGGCCACGCCCAUGGCAUGUGGAAGUUCCCGCACUGCAGUAGCUAUCCAAGCCGCUGCAGUGACAAUGCCAGAUCCUUAACCCACUGCAUCAGGGGGAGCGCCACUAUUUCCAUUUUAAAGAUGAGGCUAUGAAGGUUUAGGAGAGCUCGGCACUGGCUAGUGAAAUCAAGGGGACUGGUCUCAGCUGCAGAAUUCUGAUUGGCGUUAGAGCCGCGUGCACCCUAGGACCACUUUUCCCAGCCAAGGAGGAGAGUGGAGGGAUGAGCACCCUCCUUCCUCUUUCCUGUGUGGCCCCCUCCACACCCUGCUCUUGGCUUCUCUCAUUCAGUCCCAUCCACCCAGCUUGGGGUCACAUCCUUUGUGCUCUCUAAGGUAUGCAUGGACUACAGUGCUUGCUGGGGGGGGGGGCCUCUCUCAACGGAUCCGCAUUUUCACCUGACCUCAUCUUAAGACCAAGGAGCUUCAAGGACCAACCUAAGCCCCGUCUUUCAUGCAGCCUCGGAGGGUCAUUCGUGGUACAGCAGGAGUCGGGAGGCAGGGGGUUGGCCCAGGCUCAUCGACAACUAGCUGAUUUAAAGAGUAUAAUGCAUCCUGUAAGUAGUUACUUUGAUCUUUUCUACCCAUAAUUAUGCUUGUCAGAAAAUAAGGGGGGAAAUCACUGCAAGUCAAAACUUUUGCUGAAAGAUAAGAUGUUAUGAUCUGCUGCUAAUUACAUUCCUGCAAUUAAGAAGUUGGGGCUGAUCGCUCAAAGCUUCCAAUACAUAAAAAUCAGCAGCCAUUUUAGUUGAAAUGCUACAUCCUGUGACCUGUUUUUAAUUGACUUUCCUCCUCCUCGCUCUUCAAAGCAGGACUCUGCCAAAGCCACCAGCUUCUGACUUUGAAGCUCCCUUGAAAUAGAGAGAAAAAACAAAGGCCAAAAGUCAAGGGCUUUCAACUGCAUAUGGUUUAGGCCAAAUUUACAAAUGUCUUUUUUCUCCCCCCUGGUUUCUCAAUAGGUUACUUUUAGUGAGUUCUUUGAUCUAGAAAAACAAAAACAGAAACUACGACACUGCGUAUUGAUCAUGUUUAAAAAUUUUUUUUGAUAAUCAGUCUAGUCACAAGUGUCUGUUCUUUUAAUUUUUUC
rnacentral:lncRNA from 1 species